rnacentral:rRNA from 1 species
GACAGAGGGUGCAAACGUUGCUCGGAAUCACUGGGCUUAAAGAGUCCGUAGGCGGCAUGUUAGGUGAGGUGUGAAAUCCCCCGGCUCAACCGAGGAAUUGCGCUCCAAACCGGCGUGCUCGAGGAAGAUAGAGGUGGGCGGAACUGAUGGUGGAGCGGUGAAAUGCGUUGAUAUCAUCAGGAACACCGGAGGCGAAGGCGGCCCACUGGGUCUUUUCUGACGCUGAGGGACGAAAGCUAGGGGAGCGAACGGG